rnacentral:rRNA from 1 species
UACGGAGGGAGCUAGCGUUACUCGGAAUUACUGGGCGUAAAGCGUGCGUAGGCGGUUCGUUAAGUCCGUUGUGAAAGCCCUGGGCUCAACCUGGGAAUUGCAGUGGAUACUGGCGAGCUAGAGUACGGUAGAGGAUGGUGGAAUUCCCGGUGUAGCGGUGAAAUGCGUAGAGAUCGGGAGGAACACCCGUGGCGAAGGCGGCCAUCUGGACCAGUACUGACGCUGAGGCACGAAAGCGUGGGGAGCAAACAGG